rnacentral:rRNA from 1 species
AUUGAACGCUGGCGGAAUGCUUUACACAUGCAAGUCGAACGGCAGCAUAGGUGCUUGCACCUGAUGGCGAGUGGCGAACGGGUGAGUAAUACAUCGGAACGUGCGCAGUCGUGGGGGAUAACGUAGCGAGAGUUACGCUAAUACCGCUUACGAUCUAAGGAUGAAAGCGGGGGACCGUAAGGCCUCGCGCGAUUGGAGCGGCCGAUGUCAGAUUAGGUAGUUGGUGAGGUAAAGGCUCACCAAGCCGACGAUCUGUAGCUGGUCUGAGAGGACGACCAGCCACACUGGGACUGAGACACGGCCCAGACUCCUACGGGAGGCAGCAGUGGGGAAUUUUGGACAAUGGACGCAAGUCUGAUCCAGCCAUUCCGCGUGCAGGACGAAGGCCUUCGGGUUGUAAACUGCUUUUGUACGGAACGAAAAAGCUCUUACUAAUACUAGGAGUCCAUGACGGUACCGUAAGAAUAAGCACCGGCUAACUACGUGCCAGCAGCCGCCGUAA